rnacentral:lncRNA from 1 species
AAUUACCAUUAGCAGUUGAAGUGGUAGGAAAUUUUUACAUAGGAGAGUAUGGUGAUCAUAUUUGCAUUUUAGAAAAUAAUGGAUAGCAGUUUGUUAGGGGAACAAAGGACAGAGACAGGGAGACUAUUUAAAACAUUAAUAAAAAAUACCAGUGACAGAUGAUGAGGCACCUACCUGAUGGGAAUGGAGAAGAGGAGAUGGAUUCAGAAACUACUUAGGAGAGGCAGGCAGUCCAAGGCUGAUGCCCAAAGAAGCCAUCAAGACCCGUGCUACUUCCAGCUCCUUCUGUCCUCAUAAUCAUAGAUGAUUGCUCCACAUCCAGGGUGGAAUGCAAUGGUAUGAACACAAGGCUCACUACAACCUCUACCUCCUGGGCUCAAGCGAUCCUCUCACCACAGCCUCCUGAGUAGCUAGGACUACAGAGUCUCGCUCAGUUUCCAGGCUGGAGUGUAAUGGCGUGAUCUUGGCUCACUGCAACCUCUGCCUCCCAGCUUCAAGUGAUUCCCCUGCUUUAGCCUCCCAAGCAGCUGGGACUACAGGCAUGCACCAGCAUGGCCGGCUAAUUUUUUUUUGUAUUUUAGUACAGAUGGGGUUUAACCAUGUUGGCCAGGAUGAUCUUGAUCUCCUGACCUCGUGAUCUGCCCACCUCGGCCUCCCAAAGUGCUAGGAUUACAGGCGUGAGCCACCUUGCCCGGCCUUCUAUUCCUUUUUCUAAUGCAUUUGCCCCAGCUAUCUGUAUAGCCUGCAAUCUGGUAGAUGGACCACAGGGAAACCACUGCAGCAAACUAAAAGUGUCUAUCUCAGAUCCUUCCACCACCAUCAUUUCCAAAAUCACCGUCACUAUCUCCACCACCAUCACCUUUACCACCAUCACCACUAUCAUCCUCAUCCUUCCCAUCACCAUCUCCACUGCUAUCUCUCAACACCAUCAUCAUCACCACCACCACCAUCAUCACCAUGAGCACCACCUCUGUCGUCAUCAAAAAAGCACACAGUUCAGGCUGGCCUGUUGGAGGAUAACAGAUCAUGUGGAGCAGAGACGAGCUGGCCCACCUCAGGCCCUACCAGAGCAAUCAGCUUGCCAAACACGACAUACAUCAGCGAGGCCAUCCUAGACCAUCCAGCCCUAGCUGAGCCAGCCCAGACCAGAGACUCAUGAGAAACAGUAAAAUGUUCAUCAUUUUAAGCCACUAGAUUUUGUGGUGGUUUGUUAUACACCAAAAGCUAACUGAUACAGGGACCA